GGGUCUGUCCAUCGGUCGGGCUUCACGGUCCGUACUGGUGAGAUGGGUUCCUACCUUCUGAAUAACCGGCAUGCCAUUCAGUUGAUGCGCCGGGGAAGCAGAGCUAUUACCUUGAAAAAAUUAGAGUGCUUAAAGCAGGCUAGUGCUUGAAUAGAUUAGCAUGGAAUAAUAAAAUAGGACGGCAUGGUUCUAUUUUGUUGGUUUCUAGGAUCACCGUA
rnacentral:rRNA from 1 species